rnacentral:rRNA from 1 species
AUUGAACGCUGGCGGCAGGCUUAACACAUGCAAGUCGAGCGAGCGGCGGACGGGUGAGUAAUGUCUGGGCAACUGCCUGAUGGAGGGGGAUAACUACUGGAAACGGUAGCUACUACCGCAUACCAUCGGAUGUGCCCAGAUGGGAUUAGCUAGUAGGUGGGGUAACGGCUCACCUAGGCGACGAUCCCUAGCUGGUCUGAGAGGAUGACCGGCCACACUGGAACUGAGACACGGUCCAGACUCCUACGCGAGGCAGCAGUGGGGAAUAUUGCACAAUGGGCGCAAGCCGGAUGCAGCCAUGCCGCGUGGGUGAAGAAGGCCUUCGGGUUGUAAAGCACUGUCAGCGAGGAGGCGUUACUCGCAGAAGAAGCACCGGCUAACUCCGUGCCAGCCGCCGCGGUAAUAC